GAUGAACGCUGGCGGCGUGCCUAAUACAUGCAAGUCGAGCGAACAGACGAGGAGCUUGCUCCUCUGACGUUAGCGGCGGACGGGUGAGUAACACGUGGAUAACCUACCUAUAAUACUGGGAUAACUUCGGGAAACCGGAGCUAAUACCGGAUAAUAUAUUGAACCGCAUGGUUCAAUAGUGAAAGACGGUUUUGCUGUCACUUCUAGAUGGAUCCGCGCCUCAUUAGCUAGUUGGUAAGGUAACGGCUUACCAAGGCGACGAUGCGUAGCCGACCUGAGAGGGGGAUCGGCCACAUUAGAACGGAGACACGGUCCAGACUACUACGAGACGCACCAGUAGGGAAUGUUCAGCAAUGGGCGAAAGUUUGACAGAGCAAGGCCGAGUGAGUGAUGAGAGUGUUGGGAUCGUGAAACUGUGUUAUUAGUGAAGAACAAGUGUGUAAGGAGCUAUGCGCGUCUUGACGGUACCUAAUAAGAAAGCCACGGCUAACUACGUG
rnacentral:rRNA from 1 species